rnacentral:rRNA from 1 species
CUAACCAGGAUUCUCCCAGUAACGGCGAGUGAACGGAGAUUAGCCCAUCACCGAAGCCUGCGUGUGUUUGCAUGCUAGGCAAUGUGGUGUUAAAGCUUGUACCUGGGAUCGUGUACCUACCCGAAGUCUAAAUCCGAUUGUGGCUUUGGAUUCAUUCCAUAGCGGGUGAAAGUCCCGUGCGGGUAGGACUAUUGCAAAUCGCACGGUCCUCAGAUGUGCAUGCUUUCGAGUCGGAUUGCUUGAGAAUGCAGUCCAAAGUGGGUGGUAAACUCCAUCCAAGGCUAAAUACUGGCACGAGUCCGAUAGUAGACAAGUACCGUGAGGGAAAGUUGAAAAGUACUCUGAAGAGAGAGUAAAUAGUACGUGAAGCCGAUUGCAGGGAAGCUGGUGGAGUCAAGCUUCGUGCUUGAGGGAUUGAUGCUGGGAGCAGGUGUGUGAUUUGGAUGUGAGGAUGGACAGCUUGGAAUAAGUUGGGCGUGUUCUGAAUGCGCUUCAAGUCAUUCCGGGAAGAGUGUUAUGAGCCAUCUUCGCUUUCCUACUCUCAGUGUUGUAUUCCUCGCUGCACAGGCCACAGUCAGUAGGUGCAUGCGGUGUGAGGACCUAACUGUGCUUCGGCGGGUGCAAGCUCUCCGGGUGCAGGAUGGCAGGUGCUGUCUUCGGGCCUUGUGUCUGUUGAUAGUUGUUGUGGUUUUGACCGGCUGGUCUUCAUACCGUAUUGUGCUUAUUGCCUCUGUAUGGCGCGGCUUCUUCGGAAGUUGCGUUGUGAAGAACUG